rnacentral:rRNA from 1 species
CUACGGGCUGCUCCAGUCGAGAAUCUUCCGCAAUGCGCGAAAGCGUGACGGAGCAAUGCCGCGUGGUGGGUGAAGGCCUUCGGGUUGUAAACACCUGUCACAUGGGACGAACUUUGACGGUACCAUGAGAGGAAGCCACGGCUAACUACGUGCCAGCAGCCGCGGUAAUACGUAGGUGGCGAGCGUUGUUCGGAUUUAUUGGGCGUAAAGGGUCCGCAGGGGGUUUGUUAAGUCUGAUGUGAAAUCCCGGGGCUCAACCCCGGAACUGCAUUGGAGACUGAUGAACUAGAGUAUCGGAGAGGUAAAUGGAAUUCCUGGUGUAGCGGUGGAAUGCGUAGAUAUCAGGAAGAACACCGAGAGCGAAGGCAAUUUACUGGACGAUUACUGACCCUCAGGGACGAAAGCGUGGGUAGCGAACAGGAUUAGAUACCCUUGUAGUC